rnacentral:tRNA from 1 species
AAGAGUUUAGGUUAGCACAAACCAAAGGCCUUCAAAGCUUUAAAUAAGAGUGAGAAUCUCUUAACCCUUA